ACUAUCUGGGUCAAUAGAUUAAUAGAAUGAUAAAACUUGGCAUUACUGACCUCUCUUUGAGGUAACCAAGAAUGAGUACCACAUUUUAAAAUAAGGUCAGUAGAGAAUAGUAGGACACCAUAUGGAAAACUAGAAGCUAUGAUCCUUGAUCAGGUCUGUGCAUCAUGAGCUGGACAAGAUUCAUCCAUGUUAUCCUCGAGUGGGAUAGGUGAGUUUCCA
rnacentral:lncRNA from 1 species